AAACAAAAUUAAAAUAUGCUACGAUGAACUGGCAGCUUAAAACGAGCUUAUUAAUACUUUACUUAUAUCUCCUAUCUGAUUGGCUAACCAAUCUUCUAAAAUUAUCUCAGUUCUCUCAGUAAUUUCUAAAAAUAUCUCGGUUCUCUCAUUAAUUUCUAAAAAUAUCUCUCUCUGGUUUCUCAAUUUGUAUUCUAUUAAUAUCCCACCUGACGUAGGCAGGAAUUAUUUAUCGUAUAAACUACAAUUUAAAUCUUUAAAUUACCA
rnacentral:lncRNA from 1 species